GAGACACGGCCCAGACUCCUACGGGAGGCAGCAGUGGGGAAUAUUGCACAAUGGGCGAAAGCCCGAUGCAGCGACGCCGCGUGAGGGAUGACGGCCUUCGGGUUGUAAACCUCUUUCAGCAGGGAAGAAGCGAAAGUGACGGUACCUGCAGAAGAAGCGCCGGCUAACUACGUGCCAGCAGCCGCGGUAAUACGUAGGGCGCAAGCGUUGUCCGGAAUUAUUGGGCGUAAAGAGCUCGUAGGCGGCUUGUCACGUCGGGUGUGAAAGCCCGGGGCUUAACCCCGGGUCUGCAUUCGAUACGGGCUAGCUAGAGUGUGGUAGGGGAGAUCGGAAUUCCUGGUGUAGCGGUGAAAUGCGCAGAUAUCAGGAGGAACACCGGUGGCGAAGGCGGAUCUCUGGGCCAUUACUGACGCUGAGGAGCGAAAGCGUGGGGAGCGAACAGGAUUAGAUACCCUGGUAGUCCACGCCGUAAACGGUGGGAACUAGGUGUUGGCGACAUUCCACGUCGUCGGUGCCGCAGCUAACGCAUUAAGUUCCCCGCCUGGGAGUACGGA
rnacentral:rRNA from 1 species